rnacentral:rRNA from 1 species
UACGAAGGAUUCGAGCGUUAUCCGGAUUUAUUGGGUUUAAAGGGUGCGUAGGCGGACUGAUAAGUCAGUGGUGAAAUCCUGUUGCUUAACAACAGAACUGCCAUUGAUACUGCCAGUCUUGAGUACAGUUGAGGUAGGCGGAAUGUGUCAUGUAGUGGUGAAAUACUUAGAUAUGACACAGAACACCGAUUGCGAAGGCAGCUUGCUAAACUGUAACUGACGCUGAGGCACGAAAGCGUGGGGAGCAAACAGG